CUAUACUGAUAUCCAAAUGGGUUGAUUGGUUUCCUGUUUGUCCUAGCAGCUUUGGCAAAACACUCUGUACCAUCUAACGAAGGAGGAAGGACAAUAAGGCCAGGGAUCUUCGAAGUUCUCAAAGAAUAUUGGAGAAAGUGAAGAUGAGCCAGGUUGGGCCCCUCUACGUGACGCAUACAUGCUUGGUUCCAAAUUGAAGGACUCGGAUAAAGCACAGGAUUCUGAUGUGGCUAAACCGAGUGAGGUCCCUUUGGACAACUUUUUUGAUGAUGAAUAGGAAACAAAAUCUAUUGUACGGUUGGCUGUGAGGGGCUACAUUCUGAAGGGGGGAAUGGCAGGCUGUUGGUGCGUUUGGACGCAUCCAAGAGCGUAAUAUUUUGGAGAGGGGAAGAAUGGCGUCUCUGAUGUGAUUUUCGUUUACUAGGUUUCAUUGCAUGCAUCCAAGAGCCCAAGAUUUCUACAUGCAAACCUUGUAGUUCUAGUUUCUCUUCAUCCUUUGUAUCACAACAAAUUCUUGCAAAACUGUGGUCGCAACUUAACGAAUACAAUUGUUUUGCCCAGAAUUCUUUGUAGUGCAUCAAGACAAACCUGAUAUUUUGGUGCUGCAUCGA